rnacentral:rRNA from 1 species
AUUGAACGCUGGCGGCAUGCCUUACACAUGCAAGUCGAACGGCAGCACGGGAGCAAUCCUGGUGGCGAGUGGCGAACGGGUGAGUAAUAUAUCGGAACGUGCCCAGUCGUGGGGGAUAACGUAGCGAAAGCUACGCUAAUACCGCAUACGAUCUAUCGGAUGAAAGCGGGGGAUCGCAAGACCUCGCGCGAUUGGAGCGGCCGAUAUCAGAUUAGGUAGUUGGUGAGGUAAAGGCUCACCAAGCCGACGAUCUGUAGCUGGUCUGAGAGGACGACCAGCCACACUGGGACUGAGACACGGCCCAGACUCCUACGGGAGGCAGCAGUGGGGGAAUUUUUGGACAAUGGGCGCAAGCCUGAUCCAGCAAUGCCGCGUGCAGGAUGAA